UGGCCUUCCCACCCGCCCCUAUUGUUCCGCCCCCGGCCUCCCGCCCUUCCCCUUCCCGCCCGCUCCCCUUUUCCCCUCAGUCGCCUCGCGCCUGCAGUGACCAAAGACUUGACCACUCAAAGUCCAGCUCCCCAGAAUACUGCUCGACAUGGACACCGGUGUGAUUGAAGGUGGAUUAAACGUCACUCUCACCAUCCGGCUACUUAUGCAUGGAAAGGAAGUUGGCAGUAUCAUCGGAAAGAAAGGAGAAUCAGUUAAGAAGAUGCGUGAGGAGAGUGGUGCACGUAUCAACAUCUCAGAAGGGAAUUGUCCUGAGAGAAUUAUCACUUUGGCUGGACCCACUAAUGCCAUCUUCAAAGCCUUCGCUAUGAUCAUUGACAAACUGGAAGAGGACAUCAGCAGCUCUAUGACCAAUAGCACAGCUGCCAGUAGACCCCCAGUCACCCUGCGGCUGGUGGUGCCUGCUAGUCAGUGUGGCUCUCUCAUUGGGAAAGGUGGUUGCAAGAUCAAGGAAAUAAGAGAGAGUACAGGAGCUCAAGUCCAGGUGGCAGGGGAUAUGCUCCCCAACUCAACUGAGCGGGCCAUCACUAUUGCUGGCAUUCCGCAAUCCAUCAUUGAGUGUGUGAAACAGAUCUGCGUGGUCAUGUUGGAGUCCCCCCCGAAGGGCGUGACCAUCCCGUACCGGCCCAAGCCGUCCAGUUCACCAGUCAUCUUUGCAGGUGGUCAGGCCUAUACCAUUCAAGGACAGUAUGCCAUUCCACAGCCAGAUUUGACCAAGCUGCACCAGUUGGCAAUGCAACAGUCUCAUUUUCCCAUGACGCAUGGCAACACCGGAUUCAGUGCAGGUUUGGAUGCAUCUGCUCAGACUACUUCUCAUGAACUCACCAUUCCAAAUGAUUUGAUUGGCUGCAUAAUCGGGCGUCAAGGCGCCAAAAUCAAUGAGAUCUGUCAGAUGUCUGGGGCGCAGAUCAAAAUUGCGAACCCAGUGGAAGGAUCUACUGAUAGGCAGGUUACCAUCACUGGAUCUGCUGCCAGCAUUAGCCUGGCUCAAUAUCUAAUCAAUGUCAGGCUUUCUUCGGAGACGGGUGGCAUGGGGAGCAGCUAGAACAAUGCAGAUUCAUCCAUAAUCCCUUUCUGCUGUUCACCACCACCCAUGAUCCAUCUGUGUAGUUUCUGAACAGUCAGCGAUUCCAGGUUUUAAAUAGUUUGUAAAUUUUCAGUUUCUACACACUUUAUCAUCCACUCGUGAUUUUUUAAUUAAAGCGUUUUAAUUCCUUUCUCUGUUCAGCUGUUAAUGCUGAGAUCCAUAUUUAGUUUUAUAAGCUUCUCCCUGUUUUGUUUUUUUUUGGUGUUUUUUUUUUUUGGCUCAUGAAUUUUUUUUUUGUUUGUCAUGGAAAUGUAAGAGUGGAAUAUUAAUACAUUUCAGUUUAGUUCUGUAAUGUCAGGAAUUUUUCAAAAAAAUUAAAAGAUGGACUGGAGCUUUUUCUUUGUGAAUAGAAA